GUUGUGUUUUAUGUACUAUUGUUUGUUUGUUUGUCGGUUGUUUUUUUUUUAUAAGCCAUGGCAUUAUCAGUUUAUUUUCGAUUUAUGAUUUGAAUGUCCUUCUGCUAUCUGUCGCCUAUUUUUCGUAACCUCGUAGCAUAUUAAUGUGAGCCGGGAACAUCUUUAGAAAUAUCUUUAUUCAAACUGUUUUAAAUUCUGUGAGUUAUUCGUCAAGGGCAGAUCCAUUGUAGUCCUUGAAAAAUCAAUUCAUAAAGUGUUAGAGCUUGACAUAUGGUAG
rnacentral:lncRNA from 1 species